UUGAUCAUGGCUCAGGAUGAACGCUGGCGGCGCGCUUAACACAUGCAAGUCGAACGGUUAAAGCACCUCCGGGUGUGCAUAAAGUGGCGAACGGCUGAGUAACACGUGGGCAACCUGCCCCCCGCACCGGGAUAGCCUCGGGAAACCGUGGGUAAUACCGGAUACUCCGCCACCCCCGCAUGGGGGAGGCGGGAAAGCGUACACGGCGGGGGAUGGGCCCGCGGCCUGUUAGCUCGUUGGCGGGGUAACGGCCCACCAAGGCGAUUAUGGGUAGCCGGGUUGAGAGACCGACCGGCCAGAUUGGGACUGAGACACGGCCCAGACUCCUACGGGAGGCAGCAGUGGGGAAUCUUGCACAAUGGGCGAAAGCCUGAUGCAAGCGACGCCGCGUGCGGGACGAAGGCCCUCGGGUUGUAAACCGCUUUCAGCAGGGACGAGGCGCAAGUGACGGUACCUGCAGAAGAAGCCCCGGCUAACUACGUGCCAGCAGCCGC
rnacentral:rRNA from 1 species